rnacentral:rRNA from 1 species
GUCUACGGCCAUGCCACCCUGAACACACCAGAUUCUGUCUGAUCUCGGAAGCUAAGCAGAGUCAGGCCUAGUUAGUACUUGGAUGGGAGACCACCAAGGAAGACCGGGUGCUGUAGGCA